rfam:Candidate divison MSBL1 archaeon SCGC-AAA382A20 AAA382A20_Contig_16_C, whole genome shotgun sequence.
GCUGGCGGCCAUAGCGGCGGGGCCACACCCGGUCUCAUACUCUGGAGGUUGUCCUCUAGAGGGGAAUUCCGAACCCGGAUAGUAAAGCCCGCCAGCGAUCCGGGCUGUACUCUGGUGCGAGAGCUCAGGGGAAACUCGGAACGCUGCCAGCC